AGCAUCCCUACGUCAUUCUAAAUAGAACAACAGUAAAAAAUAAGACUAACUUUGAAUUACAACCCUAAAUUUAUUUUUCUAACCCUCUCAUUGGCACGAUAACCAUCAUCUUGCUUGAUCUUGGCCAUAAGGACUUCCCAAGUCUGACUUUUACCAUUGUAAAUCCUUCUGCUUCUUUCUUACCAAAUACUACCCACCAUACUGCACCAAAUCAUUCUCUUUGCCUUAACUAUUACUGAGUGCCCUCUCCAUUUCUCGCACAUAAACGUAACAUUUGCAUCCCAAUUAUCAUAACCCUGCAUAUCUAGAAGUAAAUCCCUAAGCACUUCAGAUGAAUACUCACACUCAAAUAAUACAUGUUUCUUGUUAUUAACACCCUGACUGCUCCUUCAUAUAGAUACGAUUUGUGAUAACAAGCCAACUAAGGUCACUAGAACUAGGAAUAUGCCAACCCUCCCAAAUAAGAUUACUCCAAGGAAUAGUAAGCUGCUUACAUCUUAAUGAUUCCCAAACCUGUUUCAAAUAGAAGCGUGGCAUAGAUUUCCCACCCCAUAACGAAACACCAUCCACAUUAAAUGACAUAAAAUGCUUAGAGACAUUAUGAGUUUUGAGUAUUCGUUUCCAGAUCCAAGAUCCUGUUGUACCUUUAACCUCUCACAUGUCUCAAGUUUUGACACGCUACUUAUAAAUCCAUGCCACCCAAAGAAAACCACUUCUACUGAAAAUAGACCAGAGGUGACAGACAAUAUUGGCAGAGUUCCAAGAUCACAGAUCCUUUAAACCCAAACCACCUUCAGCGUGAGGGACUGCCAAAUGCUUCCAAGCUGCAUGACAUCUUCCACCAUCAAACUUACUCCAGAGGAAGCGAUUGCAAUUUCUCCAAUUUCCUUUAUCAAAGCUUUUGGGAGUAAAAAGACAGACAUCCAAUACUGUAAAAUACCCCCAACGACAGAAGAAACAAGUUGCGAUUUC
rnacentral:lncRNA from 1 species